AUGAGCAUGAGAACAAGAGGGACAUCCACGCGCGCUCCUCCCACCCCGCCGCGCCGCGCCGCGGGUUGCGGGAACGAGCCGAUGUCUAAAUUUUUGCCACGCACUACGGGUAUACGAAAGGUCGCUCGGAAGCUGAAACAUUUUUCUGUAGCGGACACUGAAUCCAAACGGCGCGCCUCUUCGGCUGUUGCCUGUUCGUUUUGUCUCCCGCGUUCCCUUCAGCUCCCGGCGCAGCUACUCGCCUGCUUCUCUUGCGCCUAUAAAAGGGAGGUCGCUCCUCUCAGAGAGACGCACCAGAAUCUCUUCCUCUUCUCGACACAAGUUCCUAAGCACUGCACUGCUGUUACAUUCUUCCUCAUCCCGGCUUGCGGCGUGCACCGCAGGUCGGGACAGUAG
rnacentral:rRNA from 1 species